rnacentral:misc_RNA from 1 species
GUGAAUCAUCGAAUUUUUGAACGCAAAUUGCACUCUCUUCGGAGAGUAUGCCUGUUUGAGGGUCAGCCUAAAAAAAAAAAUCGACAUAGUCGCUGUUUCGCGGUGACAUUCGUCGGAAAUUGUGUCAUCUUUAACCUUUGGGUUUUAAUUUGUUUAAAUUUUUCUUUACGUUUCCACGAACGUUUCUAAUAUUUACUUCUUAUACCUCUAAGGAAUCGACCUUUAUUAGACGUGGCCAUUCAAUCGGAU